GGACGUUUCGUCUGAUUGCGGGCUAAUCAAAUAUUAUUGCUUGAUAUUGUUUUCUUCAUUUGUUGUAUUUAUUGUAGAUAUAGCUUUUACAAUAGAGUCUUUGACUAAAUAUAUUAUAACAGUGUUGUGUGUUAUAAUAAUAAUAUAGGGUAAAGUACCUUUAGUCGUACCAGCGCUUAAGUCGUACCACGUCGAUAUCUGCGCACCCGUCAUGAAAAGAUGGCAUCUAACAGUGCAAUAUGGUUCUACUAAGUACCACGGGUAAACAGCAACACGCGGCGGCUUGCCGGAAUUCGCGAUCAAAAAAAAAUGAAAAAGUGAUCAAUAUGGCAAAGAAAAUUUAUAACUCUUGGAAGCAAGAUGACAUAGAUGAACACAAAAAGGAACACAAUUCACAAAUAAAAAAAGAAAGAUAGACAGAAAAUCUAACAAAGAUAAGAAACUAGAUGCUAAAGAAAAUUGGUUGUGCAAACUAACAACACUAAACAAGAUCGCAAAGAAAAUAUGACCCUAUGUAUUAAAUGCAAAGGAUGGGUACAUGAUUUAUGUGCAGAUCUCGAAAUUAAAACUAAAAAUUACAUUUGUGAUAUAUGCAUUU